UUUCCGUAGGUGAACCUGCGGAAGGAUCAUUCAUAAUAAAGUGUUUUAUGGCACUUUUUAAAAAUCCAUAUCCACCUUGUGUGCAAUGUUAGAUCUCGUCAAUCUUGGCGAGAUUUUUAUACAUCAACUCAUUCUCUAACUAAUUUAUCUGAAAAAUAUUAUGAAUACUUAAUUCAAAAUACAACUUUCAACAACGGAUCUCUUGGCUCUC
rnacentral:misc_RNA from 1 species